rnacentral:rRNA from 1 species
UACGUAGGGUGCGAGCGUUGUCCGGAUUUACUGGGCGUAAAGCGCACGUAGGCGGAUCGUUAAGUCGGGGGUGAAAUCCUGGAGCUCAACUCCAGAACUGCCUUCGAUACUGGCGAUCUUGAGUCCGGAAGAGGUGAGUGGAACUCCUAGUGUAGAGGUGGAAUUCGUAGAUAUUAGGAAGAACACCAGUGGCGAAGGCGGCUCACUGGUCCGGUACUGACGCUGAGGUGCGAAAGCGUGGGGAGCAAACAGG